UUUACUAUAUACGCGAAAGCUCUCUCCAUCCUCUAGAGCAAGCCACGAAGUUCAAGCAAGGCUGAAGAAGAAGAAGAACCAAGCCGUGAGCAUCAUCAUCCAUUCUCCACCUUGAAGCUUGCUUUCGAGAUUCAAGACUCCAUACGUUUUAUCUUUCAUCCCCAUCUCCAUCUCACGGUGUGUACCCUCAAUCCCCGGAAUAGAACGAUCCCUAUUUGCUUAUACUACUAACGAUAUUUUUAGGGUUAAAUUAUGCGCUUGCUUUUAGCGUAUCAACACGUGUCAAUCUGUACCCAUUUUUUUCUCCGAGAGAAUUUUUCUCUGUUCUCUCUCCCCUCAUUUUUCUCUCUCUAGUUCUGUCUCUAAAACUUUGGUUGAUCAUAACUUUUGAUUUGUAACUCCGAUUCAAGAUCCGUGAAAGGCUAUGGAUUUGCCUUGAUUCUAUCUUUCUAUCCAUGGAGGUUUGAGUUAGAUCCAACGGUGAUUUCUAGAAGGCUCGGUUUACGAUCGGUGUUAUGUGAAGUGAUUCGUAUUGUCAAGGAAAUUAUAGUCAAGAGAGGAAAAAGACAAAAGAAGUAGCGAAUUCGAGCAAAAAGUCAACUCCAACUAAAGUAUAAAAAGUCAACUAGUUGACCAUCGGGUCAACCAAGUCAACUUAGCCUGAUAGCAUGAAGUCCAAGUCUCAAGACCAAAGAAACACAAGUGAAGACCCAAGCCCAUUUGUAUUACAUAUUUGUAUUCAAAUUUCAAAUUCAAAAUGGAUGUAAUGACAAUAAUAAUAGUGGACCACACCUCACACAUAUCACACAUGUGGAUGAGAUAUUUAUUUGUGUUCACACUAGACACACACUCACUUACACUUUUACCCUCCGGUUUUCUUUAUAUUUUCCAAUCUUGACCCUUGAACCCAUGGGGGUAUUUAAACACCUUUGCACAUACAUUUCACAAGCUGAAGACCCAUUUUUCUACACCCUAGGCCUUUUGGCCGAAUUUGGGGACUUCUCUCCCUUCUCACCUCUUCUUCUCUUCUUCAUCCCCCAUUCUACACAUAUAAGCUUGCACAAGGAGGAGACACACACAUUUCCGAUAUCUAGGCCACCAUCUCUACACCAUG